GUAAUACCGGUUCUCCUUUGGAAAAUCAUUUUCUAUCUCUGGUAUUCACAUUGCGUCAUGCCACUGAAGGGUUCAGUGUCACAACAGAGCUUUAAGUGAACGCCUCACUCCCGGUCUGAUGUAUGGAUUCAUUUGCAUUGAAUCAGGUAGGACAAGACAGUAUCAGAGGAUAAAAAUGCAUCAAACAUUAAUUGGCACAAGACUGAUACAAGAGAUGCGCAGGGAUCUCGGCAUGUCAGGAACGAAGUCCGCAUUGCCGACAGGCACCUCGCUUCCCGCAGAAUGGCUCCACAAAAUAUAAAAGCUCUCCCGUCCUAGUCCUCCUCAUUCAACUCAUCGUCUCUCUCUGCAUUUCUCCUUCCUGCUGAACGGGUUUUGCCUACACAACACAAAGAUGUGCUCUCGCAGAUCUUGCCAUGACCACGGAGCCUCAUCCCACGGAUGCCACAGGCAUGAAUCAUCCUGCCACAGUUCUAGCUCGUCCAUUCCCUGCAUCUUGGAGAAACCUGUGCCCGUCUGUCCCGUGCAGCCCUGCUGCCCCCCUGUGCAGCAAUGCUGCCCACCCGUGCAAAAGUGCUGCCCACCUGUGAAGUGCUGUCAGCAGAGCAAGCAGUGCUGCAAGUUCCCUCCACAGUGCCCCAAGUAAGAGCCACAGCCACGAGGAGAACGCCACGACCUGCCCGCUCCAUUCAUCUCCUUGGGAUGGUGGCUUACCUGCCUGAAGCCUCUUCUGUCUGCAUUCACCGUUUUAAUUUGUCUUCUCUUCUCCCAUUUACUUUCAUUUCUAAAUGCCUGUAAAACAUCUGCAGACAUCUAUCCCUGCAAGGAGUGUACUAUUCUUACAAUGCAUCAUGUGCGGAGUUAUGUUUGCUCUGUGUGUGUCAGAGUCCUUCUCCUACCUCAUUUCCUUUUUCAGUCUCAAAUUUGAGAGGCAAAUAAAGCUCCUCUUUCCUCAAAA